AACUUUUAGUAACGGAUCUCCUGGUUCUGGCAUCGAUGAAGAACGCAGCGAAAUGCGAUAAGUAAUGUGAAUUGCAGAAUUCAGUGAAUCAUCGAAUCUUUGAACGCACAUUGCGCCCCUUGGUAUUCCGAGGGGCAUGCCUGUUCGAGCGUCAUUUGACCAAUCAAGCCUGGCUUGGUAUUGGGGCCCGCUCUCCAGCGGCCUCUAAACACAGUGGCGGUACCGUUAGGUUCUCAGCGUAGUAAUUCUUCUCGCUACAGAGCCGUGCGGUUGCUUGCCAACAACCCAACUUAUCAAGGUUGACCUCGGAUCAGGUAGGGAUACCCGCUGAACUUAAGCAUAUCAAUAAGCGGAGGCU
rnacentral:misc_RNA from 1 species